rnacentral:rRNA from 1 species
GGAUGANNCGAGCUCAGCUCCUGGAUUCAGCGGCGGACGGGUGAGUAAUGCCUAGGAAUCUGCCUGGUAGUGGGGGAUAACGUCCGGAAACGGGCGCUAAUACCGCAUACGUCCUGAGGGAGAAAGUGGGGGAUCUUCGGACCUCACGCUAUCAGAUGAGCCUAGGUCGGAUUAGCUAGUUGGUGGGGUAAAGGCCUACCAAGGCGACGAUCCGUAACUGGUCUGAGAGGAUGAUCAGUCACACUGGAACUGAGACACGGUCCAGACUCCUACGGGAGGCAGCAGUGGGGAAUAUUGGACAAUGGGCGAAAGCCUGAUCCAGCCAUGCCGCGUGUGUGAAGAAGGUCUUCGGAUUGUAAAGCACUUUAAGUUGGGAGGAAGGGCAGUAAGUUAAUACCUUGCUGUUUUGACGUUACCAACAGAAUAAGCACCGGCUAACUUCGUGCCAGCAGCCGCGGUAAUACGAAGGGUGCAAGCGUUAAUCGGAAUUACUGGGCGUAAAGCGCGCGUAGGUGGUUCAGCAAGUUGGAUGUGAAAUCCCCGGGCUCAACCUGGGAACUGCAU